CCUACGGGAGGCAGCAGUGAGGAAUAUUGGACAAUGGGCGCAAGCCUGAUCCAGCCAUGCCGCGUGCAGGAAGAAGCAUCUAUGGUGUGUAAACUGCUUUUGUACAGGAAGAAACACUCCCUCGUGAGGGAGCUUGACGGUACUGUAAGAAUAAGGACCGGCUAACUCCGUGCCAGCAGCCGCGGUAAUACGGAGGGUCCGAGCGUUAUCCGGAAUCAUUGGGUUUAAAGGGUCCGUAGGCGGUUUAAUAAGUCAGUGGUGAAAUCUGGUCGCUCAACGAUCAAACGGCCAUUGAUACUGUUAGACUUGAAUUAUAAGGAAGUAACUAGAAUAUGUAGUGUAGCGGUGAAAUGCUUAGAUAUUACAUGGAAUACCAAUUGCGAAGGCAGGUUACUACUUAUGGAUUGACGCUGAUGGACGAAAGCGUGGGGAGCGAACAGGAUUAGAUACCCUGGUAGUCCACGCCGUAAACGAUGGAUACUAGCUGUUCGGAGCAAUCUGAGUGGCUAAGCGAAAGUGAUAAGUAUCCACCUGGGGAGUAACGUUGCAAGAAUGAAACUUCAAAAGAUUGACGG
rnacentral:rRNA from 1 species